rnacentral:rRNA from 1 species
AUUGAACGCUGGCGGCAGGCCUAACACAUGCAAGUCGAACGAGUGGCGGACGGGUGAGUAAUGUCUGGGAAACUGCCUGAUGGAGGGGGAUAACUACUGGAAACGGUAGCUAAUACCGCAUACCAUCAGAUGUGCCCAGAUGGGAUUAGCUAGUUGGUGGGGUAACGGCUAACCAAGGCGACGAUCCCUAGCUGGUCUGAGAGGAUGACCGGCCAAACUGGACCUGGGACACGGUCCAGACUCCUAGGGGAGGAAGCAGUGGGGAAUAUUGCAAAAUGGGCGCAAGCCGGAUGAAGCCAUGCCGCGUGUAGGAAGAAGGCCUUCGGGUUGUAAAGUACUUUCAGCGGGGAGGCGUUACCCGCAGAAGAAGCACCGGCUAACUCCGUGCCAGCAGCGCGGUAAUUC